UCCCUGGUUGUCUGGUGGUUAAGACUCUGUGCUUCCAAUGCAGGAGGUAUGGGUUCAAUCCCUGGUUGGGGAA
rnacentral:tRNA from 1 species